rnacentral:tRNA from 1 species
GCACCCGUAGUUCAACUGGAUAGAACGCCGGUCUACGGAACCGGAGGUUGCAGGUUCGAAUCCUGCCGGGUGUAC